AAGUGGGCUUCGCUCUGCCAGCAGCCGGGCCUCGAGUCCGAGCUUCCCGGGUCUGCGCCGUAGCGCAGGGCGGCGGGGCCGACGGGCAGGGCGGGCCGGCUGCCGCCAUGGCCGGGACUCAGGACAUGUUCGACGCCAUCGUGAUGGCAGAUGAGAGGUUUCACGGGGAAGGCUAUCAGGAAGGCUACGAAGAAGGGAGUGGCUUGGGUCUAAUCGAAGGAAGACAGCAUGGCACGUUCCACGGAGCGAAAAUCGGAUCAGAGGUGAGUGUGGACGCCCCCCACUUAGAAAGGAAUCCUUUUCUUUUUGUUUCCAGUUUACCUUGAUGAGCAGUGUGACUGAGCCACAAGUUUAGGCCUCUUAAGAUGGCAGCAGACUAGAUGGAGUUUCGAUGGAGAAAUAGUCUCAGGACGGAACCCGCACAGCACGUCGCUGUGUGGAGAUGAUGAAGCCGCGUGGGCUGGAGAAUGAGAAGACCAGUCCCCCGCCUCCCCAGAUCGGGUGCUACCAGGGUUUUGCUUUUGCUUGGAGGUGUCUCCUGCACAGUUGUGCCACCGAGAAGGACAGCAAAAAGAUGAAGGUCUUAGAGUCAUUGAUUGGAAUGAUUCAGAAAUUCCCUUAUGACGACCCUACUUACGAUAAACUCCACGAAGACUUAGACAGGAUCAGAGGGAAGUUUAAGCAGCUUUGUUCGUUACUAAACGUUCAGCCGGACUUUAAAAUUAGUGCGGAAGGUUCUGGACUUGCCUUUUGAGGUGGACAGACGAACAAAAGACGAACCAUCGAGGAACAGAUGUCCGUAUGUUAAGUGUUCAAAACUGUGAUUAAAGGCAAAACAGUGGCGGGUGUUCAUUGUUCUGCGGGGAGGCUUCCUGCCCCCAGGUCCGCCUGUGUCGCCUGGGUGCCCGCGGGGCCUCCGCUCAGGCCUGCCCUUUGUUGGGCCCUGUCUGCUCUGCAGUCAGCCUGCGGCCCUGGCCGAGCCCUCGUGGGGCCUCUCCCUCAGGUCCAGGGUCCGGGCCACUGGCCUCACAGGUUCUCGCCACCUGGCAGGCCUGGCUGGGUCUAGACUGGGGCUGGCUCUGGGGAGAAUUAACCUCCAGGCCUUGGUCAGCGCCCAGAGGAACAGUUUCUUAAAAAGAUGAGAGUGACAGGGAGUUCCCGUUGGGGCGCAGCAGAGAUGAAUCUGACUACUCUCCACGAGGGUGCGGGUUCGAUCCCUGGCCUCACUCGGCAGGCUAAGGGUCCCACGCUGCCGUGGGCCGUGGCGUAGGUCGCAGAUGCAGCUUGGAUCUGGCCUGGCUGGGGCUGGGGCUGUGGUGUAGGCCGGUAGCUGCAGCUCCAAUUCGCCCCCCAGCCUGGGAACCUCCCCUUGCCACGGCUGCGUCCCUAAAAAGCAUGAGAAAAAACAUGCGAGUGACAGAGUGGACACGAAGCUGUUGCCAGGGCAAGUGGUGAGGGCGGUGACAUCCACGGCCACCUCAGAUGGCCAGCGCCUGUCCCAGCUCCCCAGGGUCUCUGUCCCCUGGGGAGCCCACAGGUGCGUGUUCCUCCCACUUUACAGGUGAGGACCCGAGGCCCGACGACUGCCCGGGCCCCGCGCCGUCUCUCACCGCUGUCUUGAGUUCCUUGGAGUCCCUGGCGCCCUCCGUGGAGCCCCGGGACGUCUGGCCGAGAGGAGGAGAGGGCAGCCCGGUCCCAGGAGGCAGUGCCGUUCUUACCGCGUCCCUCGGGGUGGGGCUCUGCGGUAUUCAGAGGUCAAGGGGAGGAGAUUGGAUUCCACGCGACACCGGCCCCCCUUCCGUGUGCUGAGCUUUACGGUGAGGGCUCUGCACCUUCCUGCUAGCGUGACUUCUACCUUCUGCUGGCACCCGGAGCGCCAUCUGUACACGGGGAGGGGCAGGCCACUCCCCCGGGACACGUGCUCCCGGGCACUUCUCUGCACCCGAGGGCCCGUGGCCAGGCCCCCACGUGCCCCCGGCCCAGGGCGCAGAUCUGGAAGCCCUGAAGACCAUUAGCGCAGGGGGCCGUGGAUCCGCUCCCGAUUUUAAAAUCGUUCUAGAAUGUCUGAGUGCGUGCGCCUCCUGGCAGCUGCCGGGCCUGAGCCAGCGGGGCGAGGCCGGGGUCCCCAUGAGGCCCGGGACGGCAGCCCUUGAUGUGGCCAAGGACACAGCUCUCAGCUGUUGGAGGCCAGGACUUGGGCUGCACCGGCUUGGCGGGUUCCCGUGUCCCUCUGUUCCUGCACCCUCCCUGCCCCCGCAGGACUGGGGAGGCUGGGCUCGGCCCACAGCCUCAGCUGCGCCAUCCUCGCGGAGACCAGCCGUGGUCGUUGCCAGCCAGUGGGGUCGAGGGGCUUCUGCUGUCGUCUUCCUCCAUGGGUUUUCGUGUUUUCUAAGCUCUCUGGAUGAUGUAUGGUUAUUACAAUUGGAGAGAAAAAUAAACAGCGUGUUUUCAAGCAAAA